AAGAAGAAGAAGAAGAAGAAAAAAAUAAUAAUAAUAAUAAGAAAAAAAAAAUAAGAAGAAGAAGAAGAAAAAGAAGAAGAAGAAAAAAAAGAAGAAGAAGAUGAAGAAGAAAAAAAAAUAAUAAUAACAAUAAGAAGAAGAAGAAGAAGACUGAUUCGGGCCCGUCAUUUUCUGAAGCCACACAAGCAUGACCAAGACUGGACAGGGGUUUGUACUGUAGACAGCAAACUAAUGUGAUUAAGUGUGAUUUUUUUCAUCAAUAGUUUACGACCUGAGGAGGAUGGGUCCCCCCAAGGUUUUUUCUUCCAGCUUUGAGGGAGUUUUUCCUUACCACUGUCGCCUUUGGCUUGCUCACAGGGGGUUUUAUAAAUAAAGUGUUAAGGAGACCAGCCUGGGCACAGUCUUGGUAGCUGGGAAAACCCUGAAAGCUAAUAUAAGAAGAAGAAGAAGAAGAAGAAGAAGAAGAAGAAGACUGAUUUGGGCCCGUCGUUUUCUGAAGCCACACAAGCAUGACCAAGACUGGACAGGGGUUCGGACUGUAGACUGGAAACUAAUGUGAUUAAAUGUGAUUUUUUUUUAUCAAUAGUUUACGACCUGAGGAGGAUGGGUCCCCCCUGUGAGUCUGGUUCCUCCCAAGGUUUCUUCCUCCAGCUUUGAGGGAGUUUUUCCUUGCCACUGUCGCCUUUGGCUUGCUCACAGGGAGUUUGAUAAAUAAAGUAUUAAGGAGACCAGCCUGGGCACAGUCUUGGUAGCUGGGAAAAGCCUGACAGCUAAUAUAAGAAGAAGAAGAAGAAGAAGAAGAAGAAGAAGAAGAAGAAGAAGAAGAAGAAGAAGAAGAAGAAGAAAAAGAAGAAGAAGAAGAAGAAGAAGAAGAAGAAGAGUGAUUCAGGCCCGUCGUUUUCUGAAGCCACACAAGCAUGACCAAGACUGGACAGGGGUUCAGACUGUAGACAGCAAACUAAUGUGAUUAAAUGUGAUUUUUUUCAUCAAUAGUUUACGACCUGAGGAGGAUGGGUCCCCCCUGUGAGUCUGGUUCCUCCCAAGGUUUCUUCCUCCAGCUUUGAGGGAGUUUUUCCUUGCCACUGUCGCCUUUGGCUUGCUCACAGGGGGUUUUAUAAACAAAGUAUUAAGGAGACCAGCCUGGGCACAGUCUUGGUAGCUGGAGAAAGCCUGACAGCUAAUAUAAGCAAUUGAUUUUACUGCCCUGAGAGAAGUUUGAUAGCGACCACUGGUCAUCAGAUUUUCAGAGCUUCUCCAAAAUCUUCUUGGCCUCUCUUUUUAUUUAAAAAUGAAUAAUAAAAGUGUUUAUCAAACAGUA